rnacentral:misc_RNA from 1 species
AAAGAAAUUAAUUAAUUUUCAAAGAAAAAAUAAACAGAGAAGAGACUCAACACUCUGUCCUCUCUCUUCUCCAUCUCGAUCUAUCUGAAGAAAAAGCUUCGAUCCCAAUUUCUCAAACCCUAACCCUAGAUCUCUCCAUUUUCUUUUCAUUUCAAAAUCUAUACACAAUAUUCUCAACCUGUAUCAAUUCGAUUUCUGGUUUAGGUGGCGUGUAGAUAGUUUUAAUUUCGAUUUGCUGAUCCGAUGGCGUGCGUAAAGAUGGUGAACAGAUCGGCUUCGGCGGCCUUCGCGCCGGAGGCACCGUAUCUGGCGGCUGGAACGAUGGCGGGAGCGGUGGAUCUGUCGUUCAGCUCCACUGCUAAUCUCGACAUUUUUGAGGUUGAUUUCGUAUCGGAUGAUCAGCAGCUGAAACUCACAGGUUCGAUUCCGAGUUCAGAGAGGUAUAAUCGGUUGUCUUGGGGGAAAUGUCAGUCCAAUUCGGAGGAGUUCUCGUAUGGAAUCAUUGCUGGUGGGCUUGUUGAUGGAAAUAUUGGACUUUGGAAUCCCAAGCCUCUGAUCUCAAAUGGGUCUGAAGCUAUUGAAAGUGCUCUUGUCGGCAAUCUCUCGAGGCACAAAGGACCUGUUCGCGGGUUGGAGUUUAAUGGGUUUACUCCAAAUCUCCUUGCAUCUGGAGCUGAUGAAGGUGAAAUCUGUAUAUGGGAUAUUGCGAAACCUUCAGAACCUAGCCAUUUCCCUCCCCUUAAAGGUAGUGGAUCAUCAACUCAAGGUGAAAUUUCCUAUGUAUCUUGGAACAACAAGGUUCAGCAUAUAUUGGCGUCUACUUCACUUAAUGGGACAACUGUUGUGUGGGAUUUGAAGAAGCAGAAGCCAGUGAUAAGUUUCACAGAUUCUGUUAGAAGGCGGUGCUCUGUAUUGCAGUGGCAUCCUGAUGUUGCCACGCAGCUCAUCGUUGCUUCCGAUGAAGACGGUUCACCUGCACUUAGGCUGUGGGAUAUGCGGAAUAUACUGUCUCCUGUGAAAGAGUUUGUGGGUCACACUAAAGGUGUCAUUGCAAUGUCUUGGUGUCCCCUUGACAGCUCCUACUUGCUUACUUGUGCCAAAGAUAACCGCACUAUUUGCUGGGAUGUUGUGUCUGGAGAGAUUGUCUCCGAAUUGCCAGCUGGAACCAAUUGGAAUUUUGAUGUGCAUUGGUAUCCGAAGUGUCCAGGGGUGAUCUCAGCAUCAUCAUUUGACGGAAAAAUUGGCAUUUACAACAUCGAGGGGUGUGGUCGAGCUGGCGAUGGAGAGGGUUAUUUUGGCUCAGCUCCCUUACGAGCUCCAAAGUGGUGGUCUAAGAAAAAGUCUGGAGUCUCAUUUGGCUUUGGUGGAAAGCUUGUUUCAUUUGGUUCUGCAGAUGGUCCAACUGGACCGACGGAGGUCCAUGUGCAUAGCAUAGUCACUGAACAAGGUCUGGUAACUCGAUCUUCUGAAUUUGAGACUGCUAUUCAGAAUGGAGAGAAAACCUCGCUGAGGGUUUUCUGUGAAAAGAAAUUCCAAGAGUCAGAAUCUUCAGGCGAAAGGGAAAUAUGGGGCUUCUUGAAGGUUAUGCUUGAAGAGGAUGGGGAUGCAAGGACAAAACUGCUUUCUCAUCUUGGUUUUAGUCUGCCUGUUGAAGAAAAAGAUACUAUGCAGAAUGAUAUAUCUGAGCAAGUAAAUGCCCUUGCCCUUGAUGAGAAUCUUUCAGGUAAAGAAGCUGCAAACAACGAGAACUUAAUGCAUGUGCUGGACAAU